GACGAACGCUGGCGGCGUGCUUAACACAUGCAAGUCGAACGGAAAGGCCUCUUUCGGGGGGUACUCGAGUGGCGAACGGGUGAGUAACACGUGAGUAACCUGCCCUUGACUUUGGGAUAACUUCAGGAAACUGGGCUAAUACCGGAUAGGAGCUCCUGCUGCAUGGGGGGGGUUGGAAAGUUUCGGCGGUUGGGGGUGGACUCGCGGCUUAUCAGCUUGUUGGUGGGGUAGUGGCUUACCAAGGCUUUGACGGGUAGCCGGCCUGAGAGGGUGACCGGCCACAUUGGGACUGAGAUACGGCCCAGACUCCUACGGGAGGCAGCAGUGGGGAAUAUUGCACAAUGGGUGGAAGCCUGAUGCAGCAACGCCGUGUGCGGGAUGACGGCCUUCGGGUUGUAAACCGCUUUCGCUCAUGACGAAGCUUUGUGUGACGGUAGUGGGUAAAGAAGCACCGGCUAACUACGUG
rnacentral:rRNA from 1 species